GACGAACGCUGGCGGCGUGCCUAAUACAUGCAAGUCGAACGCAUUUUCUUUCACCGUAGCUUGCUACACCGAAAGAAAAUGAGUGGCGAACGGGUGAGUAACACGUGGGUAACCUGCCCAUCAGCGGGGGAUAACACUUGGAAACAGGUGCUAAUACCGCAUAAUUCCAUUUACCGCAUGGUAAAUGGAUGAAAGGCGCUUUUGCGUCACUGAUGGAUGGACCCGCGGUGCAUUAGCUAGUUGGUGGGGUAACGGCCUACCAAGGCUGCGAUGCAUAGCCGACCUGAGAGGGUGAUCGGCCACACUGGGACUGAGACACGGCCCAGACUCCUACGGGAGGCAGCAGUAGGGAAUCUUCGGUAAUGGACGCAAGUCUGACCGAGCAACGCCGCGUGAUUGAAGAAGGUUUUCGGAUCGUAAAACUCUGUUGUUAGAGAAGAACAAGGAUGAGAGUGGAAAGUUCAUCCCUUGACGGUAUCUAACCAGAAAGCCACGGCUAACUACGUG
rnacentral:rRNA from 1 species